GUCAGCAGCCAUAUAACCCUGCAACUCAACAACAGGCAACCCACUGAGGCUAAGAGGUGUGAGCCUGGUCAGUACCUGGAUGGGAGACCUCCUGGGAAAAACUAAGGUUGCUGCUGGAA
ensembl:rRNA 5S_rRNA 5S ribosomal RNA